rnacentral:rRNA from 1 species
GACGAACGCUGGCGGCGUGCUUAACACAUGCAAGUCGAACGGAAAGGCCCUGCUUGCAGGGUACUCGAGUGGCGAACGGGUGAGUAACACGUGGGUGAUCUGCCCUGCACUUCGGGAUAAGCCUGGGAAACUGGGUCUAAUACCGGAUAGGAGCCAUUUUUAGUGUGAUGGUUGGAAAGUUUUUUCGGUGUAGGAUGAGCUCGCGGCCUAUCAGCUUGUUGGUGGGGUAAUGGCCUACCAAGGCGGCGACGGGUAGCCGGCCUGAGAGGGUGGACGGCCACAUUGGGACUGAGAUGCGGCCCAGACUCCUACUGGAGGCAGCAGUGGCGAAUAUUGCACAAUGGGCGCAAGCCUGAUGCAGCGACGCCGCGUGGGGGAUGACGGCCUUCGGGUUGUAAACUCCAUUCGCUAGGGACGAAGCUUUUUGUGACGGUACCUAGAUAAGAAGCACCGGCUAACUACGUG